rnacentral:rRNA from 1 species
UAACACGUGGACAACCUACCCUUAGGACAGGUAUAAACCCGGGAAACUGGGUAUAAUCCCUGAUAGUCCUCGACUGCUGGAAUGCAUCGAGGCCGAAAGCUCCGGCGCCUAAGGAUGGGUCUGCGGCCUAUCAGGUAGUAGUGGGUCUAAAGUACCUACUAGCCUACGACGGGUACGGGUUGUGAGAGCAAGAGCCCGGAGAUGGAUUCUGAGACACGAAUCCAGGCCCUACGGGGUGCGGCAGGCGCGAAAACUUUACAAUGCCGGCAACGGCGAUAAGGGGACCUCAAGUGCCAGGUUACAAAUCUGGCUGUCGUGAUGCCUAAAAAGCAUUGCAUAGCAAGGGCCGGGCAAGACCGGUGCCAGCCGCCGCGGUAACACCGGCGGCUCGAGUGGUAACCGUUAUUAUUGGGUCUAAAGGGUCUGUAGCCGGCCGGAUAAGUCUCUUGGGAAAUCCAGCAGCUCAACUGUUGGGCUUCCAGGAGAUACUGUCUGGCUCGAGGCCGGGAGAGGUGAGAGGUACUUCAGGGGUAGGGGUGAAAU